rnacentral:SRP_RNA from 1 species
UCCAGGUGCAGUGGCACAUGCCUGUAGUCCCAGCUACUCAGGAGGCUGAGGCUGGAGGAUAGCUUGAGCCCAGGAGUUCUGGGCUGUAGUGCGCUAUGCCGAAUGGGUGUCCGCACUAAGUUCGGCAUCAAUAUGGUGACCUCCCAGGAGCAGGGAACCACCAGGUUGCCUAAGGAGGGGUGAACUGGCCCAGGUCAGAAAUGGAGCAGGUCAAAACUCCUGUGCUGAUCAGUAGUGGGAUCGCGCCUGUGAAUAGCCACUGUACUCCAGCCUGGGCAACAGAGCGAGACUCUGUCUCU